rnacentral:misc_RNA from 1 species
GAGAUAGACGGUUAAGAUUUCGCCAAUAUUGAUUGUAAUUCCAGGGAAUAACAACCCAACCAUCAGCGAUCACUCCCCAUUUCUCUCCACACUGGAAAGAACGCAGCGAGAGAGCUCCCCGAGAAGAAGAUCGAAAAAGUUCAGAAGAAGUGAUCUACGGAGAGAUUCACCUUAGCAAUGUUUCUUCGGGUGAUUGGACGGCCAUUGAUGGCCAAGGUGAAGCAGACAACGGGGAUUGUGGGUCUUGAUGUGGUCCCGAACGCUAGGCAGGUAUUGAUCAAUCUGUACACCAAAACCCUAAAGGAGAUUCAGGCGGUCCCUGAGGACGAAGGGUACCGUAAGGCGGUGGAGAGCUUCACGAUGCAUAGGUUAAAGGUAUGCCAAGAGGAAGAGGAUUGGGAAAUGAUCGAGAAAAAAAUGGGUUGCGGCCAGGUCGAGGAGCUCAUCGAGGAGGCCCAGGACGAGCUCAAGCUCAUCGAGAAAAUGAUCGAGUGGGAUCCUUGGGGUGUUCCUGAUGACUAUGAGUGCGAAGUUAUAGAAAAUGAUGCGCCAGUUCCGAAGCAUGUUCCUUUGCAUCGACCUGGUCCUGUUCCUGAGGAGUUCUACAAGACAUUGGAGGCUGUGCAGUCCAAAAAUGGCGCACCUGCAGUCACCUCUGUUUAGUCAAGAGUUAAAGGAGUAACUCUUGGGGUACACUCAAUUUGAGGAACAUUGAGUUUCAGAGUUCGAUCGAUCUCUUUGUUUUUGGUUUAUUGUUUUUGUUCACUUGUAAUUCCUAUUUACCAGAUUGAAUAGCCAAAACCAUUCAGUGAAUAAUCCAGACUUGAUCAGAUGUUACCGAAAGUUUAUUUAUCAAAUCUCAUUCUUGCUUUCCUGUUAAAAUAACUUGCGAAGAAAAAUAAGAAGUCGG